GGUUUCUUUUUAUGGUUAAUUUUGUGAAUUUUGUGGUUCUCUUUAUCUGAUUUUGCUUAACAUCUGAUAUUUCAUGCACCUCUACUUAACUAGGCAUGUUUUCAUUAUAAAUAAUUAAUUGACUUUCCUUGUGCUUUUAGCUUUGUUUGUUGGGGACCAGAACUUGUGCUAUUUCUUUGUUUUUUGAAAUUUGGACAUCUAUCCUUGUUAAUGAAUUCAGAAGCAGGAAGUGGGAUGGAACUUAUCUUGUUGAUGAACUUUUUAUGGGAUUGAUGGUAGGACACAACCAUAGAAGCAAAAGUUGAAGUACUCGC
rnacentral:misc_RNA from 1 species